rnacentral:rRNA from 1 species
AACGAACGCUGGCGGCAUGCCUAACACAUGCGAGUCGAACGAGACCUUCGGGUCUAGUGGCGCACGGGUGCGUAACGCGUGGGAACCUGCCCUUAGGUUCGGAAUAACUCCCCGAAAGGGGUGCUAAUACCGGAUAAUGUCUUCGGACCAAAGACUUAUCGCCUUUGGAUGGGCCCGCGUUGGAUUAGCUAGUUGGUAGGGUAAAAGCCUACCAAGGCGACGAUCCAUAGCUGGUCUGAGAGGAUGAUCAGCCACACUGGGACUGAGACACGGCCCAGACUCCUACGGGAGGCAGCAGUGGGGAAUAUUGGACAAUGGGCGAAAGCCUGAUCCAGCAAUGCCGCGUGAGUGAUGAAGGCCUUAGGGUUGUAAAGCUCUUUUACCCGGGAUGAUAAUGACAGUACCGGGAGAAUAAGCUCCGGCUAACUCCGUG